AGAGAAUACCCAGCAUUACUUUUAUCAGAAUUGUCUUGAAGAUAACCAACUAUUAAAUUACUAACUACUAAGUUUGGAGAGGAAUUCGAUGUGGGUAAAGUCACUGAUGGUUUUUUGAUAUGACUUUGUUUGUUUAUUGAUGGUGUUUUAGGUUGUUCUAUUGAUAGUUGUUUAUAUGAGGGUUUAAAAUUAUUAAGAGUUUCAACUAUCUUAU
ensembl:ncRNA Y106G6G.9 ncRNA